UCUUCGUCUUUCUUAGUUCCUUCAACGUAUCGCACUGGUCCGUGGUACAUUGGGAUUACUGCAAGCUGCCCGAGGCGUGACGCCGCUUUGUAAGCGAAGUUUUCGCUCGAGUUGUUGUGCAAGAUAAUCUUCAUCGUCCCAUAAUGUAAUAAUGAGCAACAAACCUGCUGUGGAUAUCAUUGUUGCUGCGGCCAAUCCUGACCUCCCCUUAAUCAAACCAAAGUGGUUGAGGGGCAGUAUAACUUGGAUCCCCGUCUCCACCACACCAACACCGCCACCACUGAUUUCGCCAUAGUUUUGAGAAAAUAGGUCAUAUUCUGCUGAUCCAGGCGUAGCCUUCCUCGGAAACAUUGCCCGUCUAUGACGACGAACAAAGAUAAGUCCGCCAACUGUGUGAGAAAUUAAUAGACAACAAUUUUAGUUAAUUAAUGAAGUAUUGGAAUUUAUUUAUUUUCAGAAUUGAUCCGGUGCUAAUUUGAAGUGAGCUUAACAUCAAAUAAAGCUCUAAGCGUCCGGUUUUGCCGGGAGCAUGCUACCAACGUCGUUGCGCAUUUCUUCUAACGCUUUUACUAAUGACCAAU